UGGAGGAAAGCAGGGGAUCGUAAGACCUUGCGCUUUUGGAGCGGCCGAUGUCUGAUUAGCUAGUUGGUGGGGUAAUGGCCUACCAAAGCUUCGAUCAGUAGCUGGUCUGAGAGGACGGCCAGCCACACUGGGACUGAGACACGGCCCAGACUCCUACGGGAGGCAGCAGUGGGGAAUUUUGGACAAUGGGCGCAAGCCUGAUCCAGCAAUGCCGCGCGAGUGAAGAAGGCCUUCGGGUUGUAAAGCUCUUUCAGUCGAGAAGAAAAGAUUGUGACGAAUAAUCACAAUUCAUGACGGUAUCGACAGAAGAAGCACCGGCUAACUACGUGCCAGCAGCCACGGUAAUACGUAGGGUGCAAGCGUUAAUCGGAAUUACUGGGCGUAAAGGGUGCGCAGGCGGCUUUGUAAGUCAGAUGUGA
rnacentral:rRNA from 1 species